rnacentral:lncRNA from 1 species
GGGGAAGGCGUGGCUUCCGCGCUCUUUGAAAUGUCCGGCGCCGGAAUGUCUGGGUGCUUUGGUUGGAGAGGGUCCCAUUUCCAGUCAUUCUUCAGCCUGGUGAUUCCCGCGCUCCCCUGAGGAGCAUAUGAAGUACGUCGGUUCUGCCAGGUUGGAACGCGCUGCUGGACACUCGGCCGUAAGGCGGAUCCCGGAUCCCCUCCCACUCCGACCCUUCCCUCCAGAAGGGCCGGUUCCCAAACGGCCCCUUUAGACACAUCCAAGCGGUUGCCGACGGCCCUCACGAUGAAAACUGCUGUCCGUUGGUGAAGGCAGCCUCUUCUGUGCUCCUCGCCGCUGACUUCCUGAGGCGGACCUACCUGUGGAGGCAUACCAGGAACCAGACGAUGACCCCCUCCAAAAGUUGGGUCUUUGAGGAGAGCUACUAACUUGGGUUCCUGGUACACCCUCUACAUGCAGUGGUGAAGCUUAUCUAACAGUCAUUCAUAGAAUCAGUUUGGGAAGGGGAAUUUUCACUGAACUCUCAUAGAGAAACUGUGUUUUAGAUAACAGAAAGUUCUGCACGGUUAAAAUGGAACAGAAAUUUUUUUGCACAGAAAUUAGGAUUACCGAAAAUACUGAAGAAAGACUACCUCUGAUUGGACUCUUCUCAAGGAAUUAAUAAUUCAAGAACUAAGGAAAGAAAAAAGUGAUUAUAUGAAAAUACUGAAGUUGAUCGUAGCAGCUGAAGGCUGAUCCUGUGUGGGUAAAUGUAAACGCUGAAUUCCCACAUUCCAAUGUGCGACCUGGGAUUAAGGCAGCAAUUGAGCAGGGUAAUGUUACUGAGGAGAGCGAACAGAUCGCAGGAUCUCAGAAGGCCUAACAUUAAAGGCAGAUCACCCCUCUGUUCUCAUAAGUUAUAUGGGGAGUUUUGAAAUGGCUUUCACUGUCUUCAGGGAGUUUAUCUUCAGGAUAACUCCCAUGUAUGUUGUGGGCGCAUUAGGAACCCAUGGCUGUUCCCAAAGUCUCCCUUUCCCAUCCUACCCAUUUUUAGAUAUACCCCCUCUUUCAGUAAUCCUUCCUAACUAGACUUCUUUAGACUCCUUCCUCUCCUGCCUACUAAGUUACUUGCACCUGAGCUCCAUAAUUUAUCAAAAUUAUAUAUUGUGAAUACUUUCCCAGUUCAUGAUUUUUUUUUUACUCUUAAUGGUAUUAGAUAAUUUAAUUUCAUUUUAAAACUUUUUUUUUUUUUUGAGACGGAGUCUUGCUCUGUCGCCCAGAUUGGAGUGCAGUAGUGGCCGAUCUCGGCUCACUGCACCCUCCGCCUCCCGGGUUCAAGAGAUUCUCAUGCCUCAGCCUCUUGAGGAGCUGGGGCUACAGGUACCUGCCACCACGCCCGGCUAAUUUUUGUAUUUUUAGUAGAGACGGGGUUUCACCACGUUGGCCAGGCUGCUCGAACUCCUGACCUCAGGUGAUCCCAAAGUGCUGGGAUUACAAGCGGUAGCCACCACGCCCGGCCUGAAAUUUUGUUGUGAUGGUUAGUGCCUUUUGUGUCCUAUGUAAGAAAUCUUUGCCUGCCCUCGUUAUGAAGAUACUAUCCUAGGUUUUCUUCUGUGUUAUUUUAUCUUUCACAUUUAGGUCUAUGAUUAAUUUCACAUUAAUCUUUGUAUAUGAUAGGAGUUAGACAUCAAGAUUCAUCUCUUCCAUAUGGGUGUACAAUUGAUCCAGCACUAUUUAAAAAUUUUGUUCCCACUGAAUUUCAGUGGCAGCUUUGUCAUAAAUCCGGUGACUAUGUAUGUCUGGGUCAAUUUUUGACUCUUAUUCUGUGCCAUGGGUGUAUUUUUCUGUCAUUGUGCCAAUGUCACACGUCUUGAUUUCUCUAACUUUAGAGUAGGUCUUGAUAUCUGCUAGCCUUUUGGCUUUAAGAGGGGCAUGGCUAUUCUAUCACCAAUAGAUGACAAUUGUUAACUUUGUUUUAUGCUUCUAAAAGUAUAAUUUUACUGAAUCUUAAAUAUGUAUAUUCAACAAAAUUUAGAUUACACUGUACAUUUGUUUAGUAAUCUACAUAUUUUACCUAGCUUGAAUAUUUCCCCUGUGCUCAAAUAUUCUUGAGACUUUUUACUUUGAAAUAAUUUCAAGUUUACAGUACAGUUGCAAAAAUAUUACAAAAUAAUGCCCUCAUACCCUUAACCCAAAGUCCCCAGUUGUUAAUAGUUUACAUUUACCUCAUCAUUCUUUCUCUCUCACUCUCUCACUAUGCAUAUUGUUCUUUUGUUUUUCCACCCGAUCCGUUUAAGAGCCAAUUACAGACAUUACCCAAAGUAUUUCUGUAUUUCCUGAAAACAAGGAUAUAUUCUAUGUCACAGCCACAGUACAACCCAGCAAAAUCAAGAAAUUAAUAAAUACAAUAAUACCAUGUAACUUACAAUCUCAUUCAGCUUUCAUCAACCAUUCCAGUUGGGUGGAGGCUGAUCAUCUCUCUGCCAUUUUCAUAAGUUAUGUCAUAGAUUUUCACAUCUGUCACAUCAUUCAUUUCUCCAAAGAGCCUUAGUUCCUUUUAGUAAGGAAUGGUAUUUAGAAGCCAAGUUUGGAUGCUAGGUGUGUUUAUUGCUACUGAGAUGUCAUUAUUUCCAGUCUAUUUCAGUGACUAGACCUAGCAAAUAAAUGAAUAUUGAUAUACACACCCAUUCAUCUAUAUUUCUAUGAAAUAUAUUUAAAUAUGUGUGCAUAUAGAUGUGUAUAUGUAUAUAUAGAUCUAUGUAUAUGUGAGCAUAUAUAUGUGCACAUAUAUCAAAAUAUAUAUGUAUAUAUAAAAUAUGAGUUCACACCAAUACCUCAAAUUCCAAUCCAAUACCACAUAUUUUCCUCUAGUCUUCCUCUUCUCUAUAAUUUUACCUCCCUUCUGCAAUAGUAGGAAACUUGAUUCUCAUUUUCCACAAUAUACUUGUAUUUUCUCAUGUUGACAUUCAUGGUACCUGAUAUGGUUUGGCUCUGUGUCCCCACCCAAAUCUCAUGUUGAAUUGUAAUCCUCAAUGUUGGAGGAGGGGCCUGGUGGGAGGUCAUGAUGUUUGGAUCAUGGGGCAGACUUCCCCCUUGCUGUUCUCAUGACAGUGAGUUCUCAAGAGAUCUGGUUGUUCAAAAGUGUGUAGCACUUCCCCCUUUGCCCUCUCUCUCCUGCUCUGCCAUGUGAAGAUGUGCUUGCUUCCCCUUCACGUUCUGCCAUGAUUGUAUGUUUCCUGUGGCUUCCCCAGCCAUGCUUCCUGUAUAGCCUGCAGAACUGUGCGUCAAUUAAAGCACUUUUCUUUAUAAA